AAUCAAGCUCUCCCAAUAAACGUGUGCAGAAGGAUCCUGUUGCAGCAUCGUUCUUCCUGGCCAGUUGAGCGCGCGCAAGAAGACCUCCUGUGUCUGUCUGUCCAGGGGUGAGCUAAGGGCACUGGAGAUCAGCUGAUACUAUGAGGCUGGCCUAACAAAAGGGUGAAAUUCAGAAUAGGAGGGCAGAAUCUUCGAGAUGACCAUUCUACAUCCCUAUUGCUGUCCCCAAUGCCUGCUGCUGCUCUCUUAGACUCUUCUUGGGUAUCAUUGUUGUUGAUACUUCUCAGCUGAGCCCCAUUCCACCUAGGACCCCUUUGGACUCACCACUAUGAGAAAAACAUCCCCAUGCCAAGAGGAAGUCUUUCCUGUCUCCUCAUGGUGUAACUGAGCCAGCAGAUGUUAAAGGUCAGUAGCACAGAUUGUCUUCAAUGGCAAGGAAGCCAUUGUGUGAGAAA
rnacentral:lncRNA from 1 species